AGCAGCUGCCUCUACGGUGAGUCUGUCGUCCUGUAGAUGUGGAUACUGGUCUGCAGCUGCUGG
ensembl:miRNA